GAUGAACGCUGGCGGCGUGCCUAAUACAUGCAAGUCGAGCGAACGGACGAGAAGCUUGCUUUUCUGAUGUUGGCGGCGGACGGGUGAGUAAAACGUGGAUAACCUACCUAUAAGACUGGGAUAACUUCGGGAAACCGGAGCUAAUACCGGAUAAUAUUUUGAACCGCAUGGUUCAAAAGUGAAAGACGGUCUUGCUGUCACUUAUAGAUGGAUCCGCGCUGCAUUAGCUAGUUGGUAAGGUAACGGCUUACCAAGGCAACGAUGCAUAGCCGACCUGAGAGGGUGAUCGGCCACACUGGAACUGAGACACGGUCCAGACUCCUACGGGAGGCAGCAGUAGGGAAUCUUCCGCAAUGGGCGAAAGCCUGACGGAGCAACGCCGCGUGAGUGAUGAAGGUCUUCGGAUCGUAAAACUCUGUUAUUAGGGAAGAACAUAUGUGUAAGUAACUGUGCACAUCUUGACGGUACCUAAUCAGAAAGCCACGGCUAACUACGUG
rnacentral:rRNA from 1 species